CCUACGGGAGGCAGCAGUGAGGAAUAUUGGUCAAUGGGCGCGAGCCUGAACCAGCCAAGUCGCGUGAGGGAUGACGGUCCUACGGAUUGUAAACCUCUUUUGCCGGGGAGCAAGCGUGCGUUCGUGAACGCGCGUCGAGAGUACCCGGAGAAAAAGCAUCGGCUAACUCCGUGCCAGCAGCCGCGGUAAUACGGAGGAUGCGAGCGUUAUCCGGAUUUAUUGGGUUUAAAGGGUGCGCAGGCGGGAGAUCAAGUCAGCGGUAAAAUGUCGGGGCUCAACCCCGGCCGGCCGUUGAAACUGGUUUUCUAGAGUUGGAGAGAAGUAUGCGGAAUUCGUGGUGUAGCGGUGAAAUGCAUAGAUAUCACGAAGAACUCCGAUUGCGAAGGCAGCAUACCGGCUCCAUACUGACGCUGAGGCACGAAAGCGUGGGGAUCGAACAGGAUUAGAUACCCUAGUAGUC
rnacentral:rRNA from 1 species